rnacentral:lncRNA from 1 species
CAUGUUUAUUCUAAUUACCUUAGCUUUGUGGUUCUAAGCAAGCAGUUUAGGAGUCCACUGCACUUCCAUUCCAAAAAUGAUAACAUACAGUGAAAGUGUUCCUCUAGAACACUUAAGGUGAAUUGUCAUAAUUAACACUAGUAUUCUGUGGGAGGACACAGAAAAUUGUUUCCUGAAGAAAAUAGCACCCAAAAUGCUUUUGAUUAAGUGAGGUUUAUCUCUUGGGUCUUGAGGAAUAGGAAAAGGUAAAUUGGUUUCUACAGAAAAAUUUUGGUGAGAGAUGUGCCUUGAAUUUGAAGUAACUUAUUAUGUAUCUGGCUCCAAACAGAUCUCAAAAGGAAGUUUUAAAAAUGAUCUUCACUUCAGAUUUUCAAUUGGAAGUCAGACUUAGCAUUUCUUACCUAUUAAGAAAGGAUAUUCCCAUCCUUUGGAGGCAAUAUAACAUCAUGGUUAUUAUCACCUCUGCUUUUGGGAUGAGAUAACUUUGGCUCAUCUCCUGCCUUAAUUACCUACUAUUAAGUGAUCUUUGGCAAGUUACUCAACUUGUCUGAAAGGUGUACCUACCUCAUAAAAAUGUUGUGAGGAUUUAAGAGUUAGCAAAUAAGUUUCUACUUUUCAGUAAUAUUUAAUAGGUGGUGGCAUGCCAUUAAUCUUGUGCAUCAACUAGAAAGAAAAGAAUAAUUAUAGAAAUCAUGCCGCAGAAGCGGCCCAAAGAAAUAGCAAAAAGACAAAANAAAAAAAAAAAAAAAAAAAAAAAAAAAAAAAAGAAAUCAUAUUUUAAAGGAUACUCUGAGAAUAGUGGAAACAAAAAAGACUAAAUGAACUAAUAUUCCAAAGGAGGAAGAGCUCUUCCUCAGUGAGCUGAUUUUAUUCUUUUCUUCCUUAUGGAGAUUUGCUGAGUCCAAGCAUGGGCUGAGGAUCAGGCAGAGGGACUAUAUUCGGGGAAGAGAAAUCAGCAGAGCUUUAGACCAUUGUAUGGCUUGGUAUGCUGGUUUAAAAUUUAGAGAAACCCCAAAUAUACAGACAGUUUGCCUGAUGGGGUAUUUGCUGAAUGCUGAGUUAGGGGUGCUAUAAGAAGCUAGGUGCUGGAUUGGAAAGGCAGAGUGAAAUAUCUUGUAGUCUCACAGUGCUAAUGAGAAAAAUCUUCCCUUGAGAUAAUGUCCUACGGUAAACACAUGACAGCUCUCACCUUGGAGAUAUAUGUGAACAGGUGAAAUUAACCUAAGUUAAGCUAAUAUCCAGUUCCUUGGAAGCUUAUUCCUGAAUGGAUUGAGAUGGUCAACCUUUCAUCUUAUCUGCAUAAUAGAGGUCAAGGUGAACACUCUCUGGAGGAAAACAACAAUAACUACAUUUUUCAAUGGUUCCUUUACACAUGAUAUCUGACAUAUAAUAAAAAAAAUCAGGAUACAUGCAAAGAGGUGAUAAAAGGUUUUACUAACAAGCGACAGAAAAGACAAUAAGAUAGACUAAAUUAUAUGUUGAAGUUAGUAGAUUUUAUAUAAAUAUAUUAAGGAACAUAAAGAAAAAUAAGGACAGAAUAGAUAGAAAGAAAACUUCAACACAACCUAUGUCAAAUAAUUAUGUAGCCAUUUGAAAAAUGUAAUAUCUAGACUUAAAAACUUAUUUGAUGUGUUUAACAGCAAAUUGGUCACAGCAAAAACAAGUUUAGUGAACCCAAAGAAGGAUCAAUAGAAAAUAAGCUAAAGUACAAAGAGGGUGAAAAAGGAAUAGAAAGAAUGGAAUAUAAGAUUCAUGAGGGAGUUCCCGUUGUGGCUCAGUGGUUAAGGAAUCUGACUAGGAACCAUGAGGUUGAGGGUUUGAUCCCUGGCCUUGCUCAGUGGGUUAAGGAUCCGGCGUUGCUGUGAGCUGUGGUGUAGGUUGCAGACGUGGCUUGUAUCCCGCAUUGCUGUGGCUCUGAUGUAGGCCGGCGGGUACAGCUCAGAUUGGACCCCUAGCCUGGGAACCUCCAUAUGCCGUGGGAGCGGCCCUAGAAACGGCAAAAAGACAAAAAAAAAAAAAAAA